CGUCGAAUCUCAGUUUGGUUAAUCGGAUUUCUCUCUCCUUUCUUUCUUACUCUCUUUUGAGGUUGAGAAAGGGAAGGAGAGAGAGACACAGAUACAAUGGCUGUUUCCAGGGUGGUUCUCUUUCUGUGUGUCAUUUUGGCAGCCCUCAUGGCACUGGCUUCCUCACAAUCCAUUGCUCCGGCUCCUGCUCCUACAAGUGAUGGUGCCUCAGUUGACCAAGCUGUAGCGUAUGUCCUAAUGUUGGUUGCCUUGGUUCUGACUUACAUCAUGCAUUAAAGCAGCAACGAGUGAUGCCAUAUUCUAAAUUAAUUGAGGGUCCAAAGACAUGUCACAAACACUUAGGAGGAAGAGAGAUGUUUUUUUGAUUGGAAUGAUGCAUUUUGUAUAUCUUCUUUUUCUCCAGGAAUAUAUAGCUUCAUUCUGAUAUUUCUUUUUCGGAUGUUUAUUUAUCGUGCUUGUGAUUCUAAUGCGUUAGUUAUUUUACAAAGGAAUGAACAAGAUUCUAAUAAAAAUAAAAUUGAAGAUGACUGUUCUUUGUUCGUGAA